rnacentral:rRNA from 1 species
CCUACGGGUGGCUGCAGUGGGGGAUAUUGCACAAUGGAGGGAACUCUGAUGCAGCGACGCCGCGUGAGGGAAGAAGGUUUUCGGAUUGUAAACCUCUUUCUUCGGUGACGAAACGAGACGGUAGCCGAGGAGGAAGCCACGGCUAACUACGUGCCAGCAGCCGCGGUAAUACGUAGGUGGCAAGCUUUGUCCGGAAUUACUGGGUGUAAAGGGAGCGUAGGCGGGAAAGCAAGUUGAAUGUUUAAGGUUCGGGCCAAACCUGUAGAAGAGUCUGAAACUGUUUUUCUUGAGUGGAGAAGAGGCAAGCGGAAUUCCUAGUGUAGCGGUGAAAUGCGUAAAUAUUAGGAGGAACACCAGUGGCGAAGGCGGCUUACUGGGCUUUAACUGACGCUGAGGCUCGAAAGCGUGGGUAGCAAACAGGAUUAGAUACCCUAGUAGUC